rnacentral:rRNA from 1 species
UACGAGAGGCGCAAACGUUAUUCGGAUUUACUGGGCUUAAAGAGUUCGUAGGCGGCUCAGUAAGUCGGGUGUGAAACCUCCAGGCUCAACCUGGAGACGCCACCUGAUACUGCUGUGGCUAGAGUCCGGUAGGGGAGCGUGGAAUUCCUGGUGUAGCGGUGAAAUGCGCAGAUAUCAGGAGGAACACCAGCGGCGAAGGCGGCGCUCUGGGCCGGAACUGACGCUGAGGAGCGAAAGCGUGGGUAGCAAACGGG